rnacentral:rRNA from 1 species
UUUUUAUAAAUCCCAUUGCGGAGGAAAAGAAACUAACAAGGAUUCCCCUAGUAACGGCGAGUGAAGCGGGAAGAGCUCAAAUUUGAAAUCAGGCGGUCUACGGCCGUCCGAGUUGUAGUCUAGAGAAGUGUUUUCCGUGCUGGACCGUGUACAAGUCCCUUGGAAUAGGGCGUCGUAGAGGGUGAGAAUCCCGUCUCUGACACGGACUACCAGUGCUCUGUGAUGCACUCUCGAAGAGUCGAGUUGUUUGGGAAUGCAGCUCAAAAUGGGUGGUAAAUUCCAUCUAAAGCUAAAUAUUGGUGGAAGACCGAUAGCGAACAAGUACCGUGAGGGAAAGAUGAAAAGCACUUUGGAAAGAGAGUUAAACAGUACGUGAAAUUGUUGAAAGGGAAACGCUUGAAGUCAGUCGCGUCCUUCGAGAUUCAGCUUGGCCUUGGCCUGGUGUAUUUCUUGUUGGACGGGCCAGCAUCAAUUUUGACCACUGGAUAAAGGCAGGGGGAAUGUGGCACCUCCGGGUGUGUUAUAGCCCCUUGUUGUAUACAGUGGUUGGGAUUGAGGUCUGCAGCACGCCUUUAUUGGCCGGGGUUCGCCCCACGUUACGUGCUUAAGGAUGCUGGCUAUUUCCCC